UCCUUUCUUGUAAUCGCACGCGCAGGGAACUCCAUUUUCGCCUUGACGAUCAGAGGGGUUGCUGUAAAGGCUUUUUACGCACAGCUGUAUUUCGGAAAGUUGUAGUUUCAACGAUUUCAUUGAAGAUAUCCUGGCGAAAACUUCAUGUAAAGCGAAGUCAAACUCUAAAGUAAAAGUGAAAGUGAGACAGAUUUUUAUUUUGAGGAAUCUUGGGGUGUUAUCAUUCAAACGAACUGAGGAGCUGUUUCUGCAAGGACAGGACGUACUUCUGGACGGCGACUCCGACUGGGAGGCCCCGGUGCCAAGCUGCCCGCUCUACCUGUGCCCCCAGUGGUGUUCAUAUGCCACAGUUCAUUACUGCAGGCAUGACUGUGCCUCAGAGCCAAAAGAGCACAGCAUGAAGGCGUCGUUGUGUUCUGUGUCGCAUGAAAUGCACCACUUGUUCAGUUUGCCUCUGCUUUACAUCAGAAAGAGACUGCUAUGGGACAAGGCACAGGCAGCAACAUAUUAUGACGAGGACUUCCAAGUACUGUUUUUUUUUUAUAUUUAUUUUUAAAUAUUUUUAAAAACAUUUUGUGUGUGUGCGUUAGAAUUGCUUUUUGAUAUGUUGUAUAUAGUUAUUUGCACUGCUGUAUAUAGUUAUAGGUCAUUUCACCAAUUCGGCCACUUGGGUACAUUUGGGCAACUUGUGUGGGACACCUGGGUGACUUCAUGCUAAAUGUCAUGUAGCUCACCCAUUCCUGAAGUUAUCAGUCUCAAACUUUGCACACCUACAGUUGCCCUCUUGUGUUAUCCAUCAAAAUUAUCUCCAGCAUCCUAUCUGACUGUGUGGCUAUUCUAGUACAUGUGAAAGAUGAUACUACAACAAUAAAAAACAGAAAACGCA